rnacentral:lncRNA from 1 species
CAUGGAAUGUCAGGGUAACCCAUUUCUCUUACCUCUGCCAUAUUUGAAGCAGGUAUUGAAGAGAAGAAAGAGGAGAACUUGUCCAUAGCCCUCCUGUCUGUGGCAAUGCUCCUACCCAGGAGCUGGAGCAUGGAGGGCACUGGGCACAGGAGAGACAAGCCAGGAGAAUACAGCAAGAAGGCCACCAUGUGCAAACCAGGAAGAAAGCCUUCUCUAACAGCCUGGCCACUCAGCACCCUGAUCUUGAACUUCCAGCCUCCCAAACCGUCUUCCAGUGUGGCAUGGCUAUGACGCUUGUAGCUUACUCAAUGUCCCUAAAUAUCCCCCAAAAUAUGGGAACCUGAGAGUGUUCUUCGUAGAAUUCAUGAAUCUCCCCUGGAAUUUUAUUCCACAGAUUCAGUUUUGAGACUUUUUAUCCUUUUGAUUUGAUUGCUCCUGGAGCCCUACCCUGAGCUCUGAGUGAAUGUAUUUAUCUUAGUUUGUCUAGAAAGGCACUCUGGAAUCUGCAGUGGGAACUUGAUGAUAGAUGGAUCAUUGAAACUGGCUUUUAAAAGUGACAUUUUGGUUAAAAGUCAUCUCAAAAAAGAAAAACAGCUUUUAGAAAGUGUAUAUUCAAUAAAAUUCCAGAAGCCGGCCCUGGUGGGCUGUCCCUGAAUCUGGCUCUGGCAGUGGGUUUGAAAUUCUCCAGCCUAGUUGAGAGCACAGUGUCUUCCCAGAGCACAGAGGCCAGGCUCUGCUCAGGAAUCCCACCCCCAAGACAGAGGAAAGCACUCCCAAGGCCACGCGCAAGGUUUGCAUCUGAAUUAUAGACCGUUCUUGUGAAGACUCUCUCUGCCGACCCAUAAUCUUUCCUCCUGAGAUGCGAAAAAAGGCUCCACACGGCAUCACAAGGAUAAACGCACCACAGAUACAUCAGUUGAUUAAUUUCAAUAAACUUAAGCCUGAAAAGAAGUAGUCGUACUACAGAAGAGAGCUGUUUUUCAGAGUAAAGGCCCUUAAGAACGUGGUGUUACCCUGGUAGCACAGAUCUGGAUAGGUGAAACAUUCGCAAAACUUCCUUUGAAAAUAUACAUAUUUAGUUUCAAUAAUGCAUAUUAAAACAUUAUUAUAUUAAACAUUGUGGAAUUACCUCAAAUGUAAUUAAUAGACGUUUACGGAUUUGGAAUGAGCAAGUCAUCUGGUAAAAUAUCUCCUUGAUAUAGACUCCUGGAGAGACCUAGAUGCGUGAGAAGCUAUGCCCAGAUGUCUGUAAAUCAGAAUAUAUGUAUAAUCCAUUAAGCAGAUGGGGGAGGGAGAUCACAACUUACAGACAGGAACCAAAAAAAUGAUAGAAUAGAAUUGAUGAAAGGAGAGAAUUUAAAGAGAUGACAAAGAAGGUGAAAUGCAGACAGAAAGGAGAGGAAUAAAAAUAAAGAGAAUAAAAAUCAAAGGAUAAAGUAAGUUUUCAUUAGACUGUGCGCGUCUGAAUAGCAUCCACUUGUUCCUACUGCUUUGAGAAGUUAAUUAUCUGACUAAACACUGCUCGCAGAUCCUGAAAGGCUCUCUAUUCCUCUAACCUUUAAAGACUUUUAUGACUAGAAUAACCAGAGCAGCUCAUAGAAAGAAAAUUGUUUUCUGUGCUGUAACAUCAAUGGCCAGAAAUGUGUACACCUGGGGACC